rnacentral:rRNA from 1 species
UCACUUUCAACAACGGAUCUCUUGGUUCUCGCAUCGAUGAAGAACGUAGCGAAGUGCGAUAAGUAGUGUGAAUUGCAGAAUUCCGUGAAUCAUCGAAUCUUUGAACGCAAAUUGCACUCUCUGGUAUUCCGGAGAGUAUGCCUGUUUGAGGGUCAAUU